GACGAACGCUGGCGGCGUGCUUAACACAUGCAAGUCGAACGGAAAGGCCCUGCUUUUGUGGGGUGCUCGAGUGGCGAACGGGUGAGUAACACGUGAGUAACCUGCCCUUGACUUUGGGAUAACUUCAGGAAACUGGGGCUAAUACCGGAUAGGAGCUCCUGCUGCAUGGUGGGGGUUGGAAAGUUUCGGCGGUUAGGGAUGGACUCGCGGCUUAUCAGCUUGUUGGUGGGGUAGUGGCUUACCAAGGCUUUGACGGGUAGCCGGCCUGAGAGGGUGACCCGCCACAUUGGGACUGAGAUACGGCCCAGACUCCUACGGGGGGCAGCAGUGGGGAAUAUUGCACAAUGGGCGGAAGCCUGAUGCAGCAACGCCGCGUGCGGGAUGACGGCCUUCGGGUUGUAAACCGCUUUCGCCUGUGACGAAGCGUGAGUGACGGUAAUGGGUAAAGAAGCACCGGCUAACUACGUG
rnacentral:rRNA from 1 species